rnacentral:rRNA from 1 species
UACGUAGGGUGCGAGCGUUGCCCGGAUUUAUUGGGCGUAAAGAGCUCGUAGGCGGUCUGUUGCGUCUGCUGUGAAACUCGGGCUUAACCCCGAGCCUGCAGUGGAUACGGGCAGACUAGAGGUAGGUAGGGGAGAAUGGAAUUCCCGGUGUAGCGGUGAAAUGCGCAGAUAUCGGGAGGAACACCGGUGGCGAAGGCGGUUCUACUGGGCCUUACCUGACGCUGAGGAGCGAAAGCGUGGGGAGCGAACAGGAUUAGAUACCCGUGGUAAGUC